UGCACACGCACACAGGCUCACGGAGACGCACAGAACACAACAAAAAUGUCAGACUCUGAAAAUUCAGCGACUGCUCCACCUGAGGCUCCCGUCCCCGCUCCCUGCCAGGCCAUCAAGGCGGAUCUGGAGAAAUGUGUGAAGGAGAAGGGAGAAGAAGGCUGCAAAGAGCUGAUGGAGGCGUUCCAGGCAUGUCUGAAGACUGCUGCUGAAACCUCAUGAGGGGGAGAGAUCAACACCUGAGAAAUGUCCACUGCACUGAGUCCUCCACUUUCCCAGCAUUCCCUUCUGCACAUUGCACUGGACUCAAUCAUCUUUGGGAUUGGGGGAUGGGCUGAAUGGAAACAGUGGGAACUACAGAAAUGCCCCCAUAUAAACCUGAAAUGCAAUCUUCCUGUCCCUAUACAACUGAUUACACUGGUUUUUAUACCAUGUCAUAAAACCCCUUAGGUUUUAAAUGUAAAUUGUCUUG